rnacentral:rRNA from 1 species
GCGAUACAGGGUGACAGCCCCGUACACAAAAAUGCACAUAUUGUGAGCUCGAUGAGUAGGGCGGGACACGUGGUAUCCUGUCUGAAUAUGGGGGGACCAUCCUCCAAGGCUAAAUACUCCUGACUGACCGAUAGUGAACCAGUACCGUGAGGGAAAGGCGAAAAGAACCCCGGCGAGGGGAGUGAAAAAGAACCUGAAACCGUGUACGUACAAGCAGUGGGAGCCUCUUAAUGGGGUGACUGCGUACCUUUUGUAUAAUGGGUCAGCGACUUAUAUUCUGUAGCAAGGUUAACCGAAUAGGGGAGCCGAAGGGAAACCGAGUCUUAACUGGGCGUUAAGUUGCAGGGUAUAGACCCGAAACCCGGUGAUCUAGCCAUGGGCAGGUUGAAGGUUGGGUAACACUAACUGGAGGACCGAACCGACUAAUGUUGAAAAAUUAGCGGAUGACUUGUGGCUGGGGGUGAAAGGCCAAUCAAACCGGGAGAUAGCUGGUUCUCCCCGAAAGCUAUUUAGGUAGCGCCUCGUGAAUUCAUCUCCGGGGGUAGAGCACUGUUUCGGCAAGGGGGUCAUCCCGACUUACCAACCCGAUGCAAACUGCGAAUACCGGAGAAUGUUAUCACGGGAGACACACGGCGGGUGCUAACGUCCGUCGUGAAGAGGGAAACAACCCAGACCGCCAGCUAAGGUCCCAAAGUCAUGGUUAAGUGGGAAACGAUGUGGGAAGGCCCAGACAGCCAGGAUGUUGGCUUAGAAGCAGCCAUCAUUUAAAGAAAGCGUAAUAGCUCACUGGUCGAGUCGGCCUGCGCGGAAGAUGUAACGGGGCUAAACCAUG